rnacentral:rRNA from 1 species
UGCAGAAUCCCGUGAACCAUCGAGUCUAUGAACAUAAGUUGCGCCUGAAGCCUUCAGGCUGAGGGCACGUCUGAUUGGGCGUCAUGC